AUUGAACGCUGGCGGCAGGCCUAACACAUGCAAGUCGAACGAGUGGCGGACGGGAGAGCAAUGUCUGGGAAACGGCCUGAUGGAUGGGGUUAACAACCGGACACGGAAGCUAAUACCGCAUACCUUCACAUGGGCCCGAAUGGGAAUAGCUUGUUGGUGGGGUAACGGCUGACAAAGGCGACGAGCUCUAGCUGGUGUGAGAGGAUGACCAGCCACACUGGAACUGAGACACGGUCCAGACUCCUACGGGAGGCAGCAGUGGGGAAUAUUGCACAAUGGGCGAAAGCCUGAUGCAGCCAUGCCGCGUGUAUGAAGAAGGCCUUCGGGUUGUAAAGUACUUUAAGCUGGGAGGCGUUACCCGCAGAAUAAGCACCGGCUAACUCCGUGCCAGCAGCCGCGGUAAUUC
rnacentral:rRNA from 1 species